rnacentral:rRNA from 1 species
CCCUUAGAGUUUGAUCCUGGCUCAGGAUGAACGCUGGCGGCGUGCUUAACACAUGCAAGUCGAACGAAGCAUUUGCGACAGAUUUCUUCGGAUUGAAGUUGCUUAUGACUGAGUGGCGGACGGGUGAGUAACGCGUGGGUAACCUGCCUCACACAGGGGGAUAGCAGUUGGAAACGGCUGAUAAUACCGCAUAAGCGCACAGUACCGCAUGGUACAGUGUGAAAAACUCCGGUGGUGUGAGAUGGACCCGCGUCUGAUUAGCUUGUUGGCAGGGUAACGGCCUACCAAGGCAACGAUCAGUAGCCGACCUGAGAGGGUGACCGGCCACAUUGGGACUGAGACACGGCCCAGACUCCUACGGGAGGCAGCAGUGGGGAAUAUUGCACAAUGGAGGAAACUCUGAUGCAGCGACGCCGCGUGAGUGAAGAAGUAAUUCGUUAUGUAAAGCUCUAUCAGCAGGGAAGAUAGUGACGGUACCUGACUAAGAAGCUCCGGCUAAUCGU